rnacentral:lncRNA from 1 species
CCAGGUCUGUGUCUUCUCGUCAGCAGCCAUCCCACUGAGUGGGAACUCACUCUUGAACUCCCAAAGAGCAUCCCUCUGGUCUUGACGGCACAAGUGCUUAGGAGGUGAAGAACCGCAAACAAGUAUUGAGUGAGAAAGAUAAAAUAUUAAACACAAGCUCCAUACUAUUAUCUUCCUCGCACAACAAGAAUGCAUCGUGUUUUUUUUUUCUUCUUUGGUUUUCUUUUAUCUUUUUUUCUUUGUUUUUUGUUUUGUUUUUGUUUUUGUUUUGGCGGUGAAAGUGGAGAAAAAGCUAGACUUAUAUAACAAGUCUCCUGUGAAGAUUUUUUGUAGAAUCAAGUCUCCUCUGAAGAAUUAAUUGAUGAAUGGUCCACCAAGCCUAAGUAAAUGAAAGUUCAAGAGUGAUUUGUCCUUGCAUGGUAAACAAAGCGACAAACACUGUAUUGUCCACGCCGUAUGGGUGGGGGUAAAUCGCUGAAACGCAUUGCAGCCACAAACAUAAUUUUCUUUAUUCCCACUCUUAACGGGUCAAUGGUAGAGAGUGACAGUGAAAUUGACGAUGGCCUCUACAAGGAACAAGUCUUUGCCGUUGCUUAAAGAGAGGGAGCUUUAUCGUUGGACCUCUAUUUAUGAAUUUUCUGAAAAUUGACAUGUGUUCUCAUUUCUCAUGGAACCUGUUUUGGUCAACAAGCAUUAAACUAAAUUAGUAAUUCUCUCUCUGUCUCUCGUACACAAACUCAUAUGUUUUGGUCGAUAAGAAUUAAACUAAGUUAAUAAUAAUGAUCUCUUUCAACGGUAAUGCGUGUUGACAAUUAAGUACCUCAAGGGUCUGAGUUCUUACACUAACUUCAACAUCAAUUAAUUCCACAUGCCCAUUUGUCAACUUUAUUAAUACUAGGGGGUUUUCCAGGCUACGCCCGGAUUUUUUCCUAUAAUAUUAUUUUAAUUUUUAUAUUUAUAUUUAAAAAACAAACAAAUAUGAUAUACACUAAAACUUGUUAUAGAAUUAUAAACAUAAAUGCAAAUUUGAAAUAAUUUGUUGUGUUUUAUUGGAGUUUUAUGUAGGAUAUUUGUAAGAUUAAUAAAAAGUUAACUGAAUUAUAAGUUAAAAUCUAUAUAUAUUCUUUAUCUUGAAUAUUUAUUUUUAUGUAAAACAAUUGUAAAACUUAUAAUUAGUACUGUAUAAAUUUUGAUUGGUUUUAAAAUUAUUAAGUUUCAUUUUUGUAUUUGUCUUUAAAAGAAAGUACCACCGACUUGUAUACCGGUUCUUUAUUUGUUGUCUUCAAUUUAUCGUUUUAACCAAAAUAAUUUUGUCAACCUUUUUAACCAAAAUUUAAAUUUAACAUUUAUUGUUGCUAUUUAAUUUCUGUGUUUUUUUUAAGUUGGUUUGUGAUAGAAAGAAAAUUUUGCUUCAUGAUUUGAAAUAUUUUUAGUUGUAAAUUUAUAGAAGGUUUACUUUCUUACCGUUGUUGAUGUAAUAUUAAUUUUACAGUUACUUAUUUAAAUUAUUUAAUUAAUCAGAAUUUUUGGAAAUAAUUUUGAAUAUUAAUACGACUAUUUGAUGUUCUAGAUUUUUUUUCUGUUUGCUGGGUAGUGUUUGUGUGCUCGGUCAUCCCUUUAUGCAAGGCUGAGAUACUUGCUCAAACAUGGUCUUGAAUGACCUCCCGAAAACAGGUAUGAGUGAGGACUUCAAACCCAACUUAAAAACUUUCUGAAAUUUAUAAAUGGUAGAUAUAUACAAAAAUUAUCACUGCCUGAGGUCUGGAAUUAGGUCUUUAAUCAAAAAUUCUGAAAAACUCUUAACUUAAAUCUGAUUACACACAUUGCAUAGACGUUUUGUGUGUUUCUAAAAAUAAUUUAUAUACAAAAACGGUUUAAGAAUUCUAACUCCUACAGUUUGAUCCUACCCUACAAUCUGAGUUGCAAACCUACAAACUGCAUUAUUAUUAUUCUCGUAUUUGCCUCACUUCUUCUUUUGUGUUUCAUGACCUUUUUUUUAGGUUCCAUGACCUUUGUCUAUGAUGCUUUGAUAGUAUUGUGUACUAACUCAUUAUUAAAUUUUACUUUAGUCAUACACAUUCUAAGUUAGUAUCCAGGCUACACAUAUUUAUAUUAAUAAUUUGUUUUAUAUUUAUAAUAAUUUUAAAAUUAUCAAAAUAGAAGAUCGUUAUUAAAAUUGUAACCUUUUAAUUAACUACCAUUUUCUAUUUUUGGAUAUUUAUAAUAAUUUUAAAAUUAUCAAAAUAGAAGAUCGUUUUUAAAAUUGUAACCUUUAAAUUAACUACCAUUUUCUAUUUUUUGAUAUAUAUAUACAUAAAUUGUGUUUUAAAUGUACUUUUCAUAUGUAAUACACAUUAUGUAAAUAUAUUUUUUGUAUAUGUAAUCUUACGAUAUAAUAUUUUAUAAUCACAUUUAAUAUGAGUAACAUAUACUAAUUAUUGAAUAAAAUUAAAUUGCAUCUUUUUCCCCAAAAAAAUUACUAUUUAAAUAAAACAUGUUCUAUAAAUAUUGAAUAAUUUGAACACUAAUUGUUUUUGUUACAGGAUAUUAUUAUUAGCAUAUUGUUUACAGUUCCAUAAUCUUAAAAUAUGACUGCUGCUGUUUAGAAGGACUAUGCUUUUGAUUUCGAAUUGCCUAAUUCUUGAUCCAUUGGUUAUAACAAAUUUGGUUUAGUGUCCUAAACUUUUGAGAGUUCCAAAGAUGCUUCUUAAAUCUUUACUACAACAUUUACUUUUACAUGAAAGCUUCCACAUUUGGUUAGCAUAUUACACAGUAUAAUAUAUACCAGCGUGUAAUAUCCUUUUCUCUCUUUUUCACCCAACGCACAAACCAGAAGGGGAGAACGGCCAGGGCGUUGCCAGUAUUUUCUUUGGCCUAUGGAGGCAAAGUGUUGAUACUAACCUCUAAUAUGAGGGGAGGGAGGAGGGGAAAUAAAUCUAAAGGUCUCUUAAAUGUAAGAAGAGAAAGGUUUGUUGUUUGAGGGUUUUGUCAUGAAACCAAUUGGGAUGACCGGAGCAAGGCAUUCUUAUGGGAGAGAAAAAAAACUGUAAGCCUCUCUUGAUCUGAGAGAGAGUAAGUUUCUAGCUACACUCCUUCCUCCACUUCAGAAAGAAAUAAUGAUGUGUUCUUGACACUGAAACCAAUUGUUUGUUCUUGGUUACCAUUUGCUUCUAUGUCCUCAUUCAGAAACGGUACUUGAAACUGUUUUAGACUGUUUCCAUCAAAGUCAGCUUGAAUCCACAGAUCAUUAAUGUCUUUUGUCGUGAGUCCACUGUGAUAUAAACCUAUGUCCAUCAUUUUCCGUCAAAUCGAGUUGUAUUGGGGAGGAGAAGCAAAUUAGGAUAGAGAAACUUACGUGAACACUCUCAGAUGAAUAAGAAGGUCCAUAAAUUGGGUCACCAUCAUUGUUGUUAUUUUCAGAAAGGAAAAAGCAUCCUCAGAGGUUAGUGAAGCUCUUCUCAAUAGAUACUGCAAAGCAAAAUUGUCACAUGUUAAUUGAGGUAGAUAAUAGAACUGUCCCAUAAAAGCUUUACACAAAUAAUUCUGAUGCAAGAAACAUUCUUCUACAUAAGAGAAACUUGAAGAGAUCUGCAAUAAACAUGCCUUACUCCAACUUGUUUGUAGAAACUUUCUAUACCAAUUUGGAUUUAGAAGAAAUAUGAAAUCAACAGCGCAUGUUACCCCAUGGAUUCCUGUGGCAUACCCACUGUGAAGCCAAAAUGACAAAAAAAAAUACAGCAUACCCAAAGUUUUAUCAUAAUAAAGAAAAACAGUGACCUUGUACACUUCUGAAUCUCUGUACCGAUGAGCAGUGUCGUAAGGAGAAAGCCUUGUGGUUUGAGAAACUGGUAGACAGGCCCUCGCUUACUGUUCAAUCUCUGCCACAAAAGUAGAAAAAAAAACUGAGCAGUAAAAUAAAUCAGUAUCUUCGUUCUUUAGAUGUAACACAUAAAAAUUCCUAAAACCUAGACUUGGUGGUGGUUACCAGCAAAGUAUAUUAUGCACUUGGACUGAGAUUGACUUCCUUCUGAUAUGUUCAGCAUACUAGAGAAUCUAACAAACCUGUUAAAAAAAAUUCUUGUUCAGAAAGAUGCAAAUCAUCAACAGUGAUAGUGAAGAGAUUGAUAUAACAAAGAUUUAGAGAUUGAAACAUUGUACAUGCUGCAAUCUCUUACCAGUUACCAUAGAUAGUGUUGAAUCAUGAUGAAAGAGAAAAUGAGUGUUGAUGAUUAAAACUUGUUGGUGAGCAUCGUACUUUAAGGAAGAACUGAUUUUACAUGUAGCAACAGCACGGCUCAGUCUAAAGUACUCCUUAUGUACAGCCGUGGAAAAACCUAAUUGCCAAUCAGAAGAAGAGAAGGAAACACACAUUGAUCCAUCUGUUGAUUGAAAAAUUGAAGAAUGAAGCUAGAAAGAACAUGAAGCAGCUUCACAAAAAUUGAAAGACACUAAUAUCACAAAAUGAGCAAAAUUAUCGGGUUAGAACAGGAUUUCAUACAUGAUCAUAUAUAAGAAGAAGCUCCAGACAAAUAACGAAACUACCUUUAGUUGUGGUCCUCGGUUGCCAGAAGUUGAUUAACCGAAACCGUAGCUCCGAGUGUCUUUGGACAUGAGCAACAUCAUUUUAGAGCAGAGAUGUAGGGGCUUUGCCGGUUGAUUUCCUCAUUCUGUCAUCGUUUUCUCUGAAAAUUUGGUUAGCUUAAAUAGGGUGAAGGGGAGAAGCAAAGAAGAAGGAAGAUAUAUAAUUGUGGAGCUGGUGGAAGGGAACAGAUUCAUGUCGUUUGGGUUAUGAUAAGCACAUGAACUUUAUGAGACUUAGAUGCGGAGGCGAAGGAGAAUCGGAAGUGGUGUAACGGCGUGCUUUGGAGGAAGACGAAACGGAGAGGUCCGAGUCAAUUUUGUGUUGUGUGAAUGAACGAAUGACGUGGUAAAUUAGAGACAUUUGAUUGGUUGAUUUAAUAUGUGGACGUGGACACUCUAGAUGCUAUAGCUCAAUCCCUUUUCUAUAUUGGGAUUAUUAUCGAGCAGAGUAGCUAACAUUAAACUCUCGAACUUUCAAUUGUAAUUAAUUUCCAGGUAAAAUCAUGAUUGCACUGCUUAAACUCUUAAUUUGCACAUGAUAGUAUAUAUAAGAAUAAGAUAAGAUAUAUAAUUGUGGAGCUGGUGGAAGGGAACAGAUUCAUGUCGUUUGGGUUAUGAUAAGCACAUGAACUUUAUGAGACUUAGAUGCGGAGGCGAAGGAGAAUCGGAAGUGGUGUAACGGCGUGCUUUGGAGGAAGACGAAAUGGAGAGGUCCGAGUCAAUUUUGUGUUGUGUGAAUGAACGAAUGACGUGGUAAAUUAGAGACAUUUGAUUGGUUGAUUUAAUAUGUGGACGUGGACACUCUAGAUGCUAUAGCUCAAUCCCUUUUCUAUAUUGGGAUUAUUAUCGAGCAGAGUAGCUAACAUUAAACUCUCGAACUUUCAAUUGUAAUUAAUUUCCAGGUAAAAUCAUGAUUGCACUGCUUAAACUCUUAAUUUGCACAUGAUAGUAUAUAUAAGAAUAAGAUCAUCAAGAGCAGAAUCGAAGGAGUAUAAGCAGCAUAAGAUUGUGUAAACCUUAUAAACGCAGCACCCAUGUGACCUGAGAUAAAGGAACAUAGACGACAACGGGUUCACCAAGUUCCUUAAAUGGCACAUGCCUUAAUUUUUUUUAUCAGCACCAUUAGCAUCAGUCGGUAAAUCUACGUUGAAGUUUGCAUCCUCUUGUCUUCUACUAUCAGGAAGAAUUGUUCACGUACAUGAUGGAAGAAUGGCUGUUUAGAGUAGAUUUCUGACAAUAUAUUUUAGAAACUCUCAGGAGUCUAACCUUCUGGUAAGCUUUGACCAUAACUUCUCUCAUUUCUUUCAAGGGUUUUACUUGAUUCUGCAGAGACAAGACCACAGUCACAUAAUUUAUAUAAAGUGAUUAUUACAUAAUUAUUAAAAAUGAUAUUUACUCAUGCAACUGCACAUGUAUAUCAGUAAUAGCACGAUUAGCUUGAAGCUGAAAGAAAGAAUUGCUGAGAAGAUUCUUAGUAUUACCAUUUUCACUCCACAACUGAUUUACAAGCAUGUUAUUAUAGCUCAAAUGGAAGACCCUUAAGAAAAUAAGAAACAAAACACUUGGAUAAAUCACAAACUCUAAAUCAAAAACAAUAAACACUAAAACAUUCAAGGGUUUAGGGAUUAUAAUUUAGGAUAUAGGGUUUAGUGUUUUAGUGUUUAGAAUUUAUCCAACGGUUUAGGAUUUACUCAAAGAUUUAAGAUUUAAGGUUUAGUAUUUUGCUGACGAGGUUAAAAAUAUAUUUUUUUAAAUUUUUUUUUUUUGUAACUACUAUUAUUUUCUAUCAUUUUAUUUUAGAAACAUAAUAUAACUUGAAAAUAUUUUUUUCUUUUUUUAAAAAAUAUCGAAUAUGAAAUAACGAUUAGGAGGUGAACCCAAAAAUAACUCAUAUUAUUAUACUUCACGUCUUACACUUAAUCCACUUAAUCGUUCAUCUUACAGAGUAUUCAACGUAUCAAAUCAAAUCAUAAAACAAAAUAGAAUAUCGAAACAUUUUAUAAAAUUAAAAUAAAAGAAAAACGAAAUUAAAUUCUGUAACUAAAAAAGUCGAACAAAACCGAACAAAACCGAAGAACCUGUGAUGAUCCAAAAACACCAAACCAUUCCAUAUAACCAACUACUCGUAAUCUCACCUGAAAAGAGGAAAAAAUGAGGAGUGAAUUAAUAUGAGUCAAUGAGUAAAGAUAUAAGAUGCUAAAUACGCAAACCACCUCAAGUUUGAGUAAUAGAAUGACCGUUCGACGUAAAAAAAGAACCCCCCCCGUCUCUCUAUCCCCACAUUCUCACUCCAUACGUAUAUAAAAAAAAGUUUCUAAACUCACUCAGUUCAAUCAACAAAUGAAUCUUCUAAAACCCUAUAUAUGGUUUAAACAAAGAAUAUAAUAACAAAACAGACAAGACUCUAAUCAGCUUCGAUAAACAAAUACAGAAAAUGUUACGCAACUAAAAUACUCGUCAAGAAAUACUAAACUAAGCGCGUGACGGAAUAAUCUUCAGCCUUUAAAAAUGGUUGAAAAUAAUUAAAAAAAAAACAGAAGAUGUCGUUAAUAGCAAAAUGAUGAUUAAUGUUUAGAUUGAAAGGCUCUCAAAAUAAAGUUUCUGAAAGCAAAAUCAUUUUUAUCUAAUGAACAAGUAACUAUUGAUGAGAAACCCUAAGACUCUGAGGCGAUAGUUCUUUCGGCCGUUAAAACACUUUUUUUUUGUUUUCUCAGAUCUGAGGCCCUCUCCGGUUCGGCUUUCUACACCGGUGCUGUGAGAGGGUCUCCUCCUCCUCCUUGUCUUUUCAAAUUUAAGUUGAUUUUUUUGUGUUUGGUUUUUGUUUCUCAGCUGUUGUUUUGGUGCGAUUUCUGGUGAAGGAUUCUGCCUUGUAUCAAGUGAUGUUGGGAUUCAGGGUUGCUAAGUGUGCCCUCUGUUUUAUAGGUGUUGAUUUUUGGUAACUAUGGUGGUGUGGGGCUUUGUUGUCUUGCGUGGUGUAUGGUAUCUCGUCUCCUCCGCCGAAGAAAAUGAGUUCCUGGAAUAGAGACUCAAAUCUCAGGAUUAAGUAGAGAAUCUUGAAUCGGUCUCCACCUACGUCCAUCUCUUCAGAUCUAGGUUUCUGAAGCGAUAUUUAUAUGGUUUGUACUUUACAACUCAAAUUUUUUCAACGUAACUUAACAAAAGCUAACUCGGAACAAAAUUGAUAAAGGCAAUUGAAGAAGAAGACUUAUCUACACUAUGAGAAAUUUUGUCUUGAUUUUGUUAAAGAUAUUAGAAGUCCGUCUGCUACUGCUGGAACGGGAACAUCUAAUUUAUCUUAUUUCGAAACAAGACCGGUUUGGUAUUGCUAAUGUGUCAUCAUUGAUGUUUGUCCCUGCUAGUUUUCGAUGCGGAAAGACCAUUAGUUUCUCAUUUUUUAUCUUGUCUUAUUAUUCUUUUAUGAUGUAAUGGAUUACAAAUCAUUAUCAAUAAAACAAAGUGUUAAAAAAAAUCAAAAGUUUUCUAAAAGUGAAAUUUUCCAAAAUUAGAAUUAUGAAGGCGAUAGACUUAGUGAAAGACUCAUCGGAAACUCACUGGAAUCCGUAUAACCGGUGCAAGAAACUCACCGGAAACUUUCUCGGAAACUUGCUGGAAAAAUUUAUUGGUGGCUUGUCGUCAUUUAACAACAACAACUGACCUCAUGCAAAGAGUUGUCUUAUCCGAUAAAGAAAAGAGAAGGUGUGAAGCUCUAUUUAAAAUAUGAAAGGAGGGGGGGGAAGAGUUAGUUUUAUAAGUUUCCGAUGUGAGACAAAAUAAAAAGGAGGUUUGAGAUUAAAUUUUAAAUAAAAAUAAUAGAUAUUUGGGUCACAGUCAUUACAAUCUACCUCAUUUAGUUAGAAUUCUCCUCAAAUCCAAGCAGAAUCCGAAAAAAACUUAAACAAUAUCUAAGGAAAGAAUAACAUGAAACUAGAGACAACUAUGGGUUAAGAAGAAUAGAACGCAAAUAGGAACUUAGACACAUAAAGCAACAAAAAAACUAUUUUCUGAACGUCUUCUUGAACUCUCCUUUGGAACGAUAAAGAGCAAAAUAUUAGACGACAACCUAAUAACUAAGAAUAUGUAUUGAUCGUCUCAUGCAAAAAGUAUAAUUGAUUCAGAAACGAUAAAGAUAAUCGAAUAAUACUGGAUAGAAGGGUGACACUUUUUUAAAAGAAUCUCCAAUCCCCCAAAAUUGUUAAAUAUUGAAUCUCCUAACCGUCUCCCAGGUCAGAACUGGGACGACAAUUCGUUCUGAUAUCAAAUUGUAACACUUAUCGCAUCCUCUCUUGAGAAUGGUGUGUUAAUUAACUACACAUGUCCAACUCUCAACUUUUUAAAUAUCCCUUCAUGUCUUACACUUAACCGUUCAUCUUCCAAUAUUCAAUUAUCAAAUUAAAUCAAAUCAUAAAACCAAAUAAAUAUCAAAACGAUUAAUAAAAAAAUUAUGAAAGAAAAAUAAAUUAAAAUUGAGUAAUGGAAAAGUCCAACAAAACCGAAAAAACCUUUGAUGAUCUCAAAACACCAAAUCUGUCCAUAUAUUCAACUACUCAUCUGCUCACCUAAAAGGGGAAAAACGAGGGGUGAGUAUCAUGGAAGUCAAUCAGUGAAAUAUAAGAUUUUAAACAUUCAAAAUAUUGACUCAGUUAUAACACUCCAAAACAUGAGUCUAGCCUUAACAUGAACAAACAAGGCGCUCAGUGCACCACAAAAAAAACAAGCUAGGCUUUGGUAGUACAUAGGUAGUCUCUGCAUCCCACAUUCUCCUCAUAGGAAUGUAAUUCUAAAUAUUCAUAUAUUCCUUUGCGUCGAUAGUACUAAAUUUAGUCUUUGUACCCCCGCAGUCUCCUACUAUGCAUCAUUACUACAAACGUCUUUGUACACCCACAGUCUCCACACAAGCACUGUUGAUAGCACAUACGUCUAUGCACCCCGCAAUCUCCACACAGCCUGUGUCUGUGUAAUACAAAAGUACAUUUCUUUUUCCCCUCAAUCUCUUACCAUAAAUAAAUAUAUAUACUUAUCUCCGGUUUACAUAAUAAAAACAAUAAAAUACAGAAGACUCCGACUCGAAUACUUGAUAAAUAGAGAAAGAGCAUAUUUUGAUACUAAACUACUCGUAAUAGAAAUACUAAACUAAGUGCGAGAUUUUACAGAAUAGUUCCCACCUUUACCACUAGUUGAAAAUGAUCAACGUAACAAAACAUGUCGUCAACUGCGAUCUGUAAUCUAUUUUAUUAAAACUGAAGUACAAAAUAUUGUUUACGUAAUUUUAAGGGAGUUUUUUACUUCUUCUUCCUUCUUUUUUUAAACUAAUUAUAACCACUUCUUUUAUUUUAUUUUCCAUAUGUAAAAUAAAUUUUACCUAUUUUAAGUGUUUUAUUACACUUUUUACAUUCAUUUCUUCAUUCUUCGUAGCUACUUCAUUAAUUGUCUUUACCAUAAUAAUUUGACAUCAUCUAUCUAUUCUAUUAAAACUGAAGUACAAAAUAUUACUUACCUAAUUUUAAGUGAUUUUUUACAUUUUCUUCACUCCUUUUUAAACUAAUUAUAACCAAAUCAUUUAUUGUCUUUUCCAAAUAAUUUGACAACAUUUAUCACAAAAUUUAAAAUAAAAUUUACCUUUUAAGUGUUUUAUUACACUUUUUACAUUUUUUUUUCAUUCUUCAUAACUAAUUCAUUAAUUUUCUUUACCAUAAUAAUUUGACAUCAUCUAUUCUAUUCGAACUAAAGUACAAAACAUUACUUACCUAUUUUUAAGUGAUUUCUUACAUCUUUUUUAGUCCCUUUUAAACUAAUUAUAACCACUUCAUUUAUUGUAUUUUUCAAAUAAUUUGACAACAUUUAUUUCAGAAGUUUUUUAUUACACUUAUUACAUUCCUCUUUUCCACUCUUCAUAAAUACUUCAAUAAUUGUAUUUACCAUAAUAAUUUGACAUCAUUUUUUUACGUGUUAAAUAUAAUAAUUUCACAGGAUUGAAUGCAAUUGUUCCAUUCGUAACAAAAAUUCAAGCGGGUUAACAAUUUUUUUAUUUGUUUACAUAAUCAGUUUGACAUGAGUAUGUAGGUAACCGUUCGGGUACGAAUCGGUUCUUUCAGGUAUCAAUAUUUUGGAUUUUAAAAUUAGACUAUGUUUGGAUAUUAUAAAUUUAUAGAUGGAGUUUGAGUCGGAUCCUCCUGGAACUGGGAAAGUUCGGUUAUGACGUAUAGGAACGUAAAAUAUCCAAUAACCUAUGUAUUUAGAAAUGACAUUAAACAAUUUAUAAAAAAAAAAGAAAGUAAAACACAAUAUCCGCGCAGACGCACAUAUCAACCUCUAGUUAAAAUUGUAUAUUAAAAGUCUCUGAAGAUUUUUUUUUUAAAAUUUAAAACUUUCCUAAAAUAGUAUUAUGGAGUCGUGUAAUGUUAAACUCAUCGGAAAUUCGGUGAAACCCGCCCGGACACCCACUUGAAAUUUGUUGAAAACCUCGCUAGAAACUUUUCUAACAACUCGUUGGAAAGAUUCACCAAAUUUUUGAAUAAUUCAAGGACAACUGGUCUCGGGCAAAACAUUGAUUUGUCUUGAUGGUGAAAAGAAAAAACGGAGGUAUGUCUAUGAGUUUCCAAUGUGGAAUAAAAUAAAAGGAGGCUUGAGCUUAAAUAUUACUCCAAAUUAAAAUCACAUGUCUCUGGAUAAAGGUCGUCACAUAAAUGUGAACAGUUGGUUUAGGAGAAAUAACAUUUCCUGCUGUCCACAUUCACCGACUUCUAAUUCGUAACAUUCUGAGAAAUGUGUGCAUUGAAUCACAUUGACUAACAUGCUUUUGAUCUGAUGCUUCAAAAGUUGAAUCUACACGGCGAUCUGAUUUCCUUCACUUCUUUUGAGACCAACAAAUAAAACUACGAGAGAGAACAAAAUAGAAAUUGACCUCGAGAGUAUAAGAAGAUAAAAACGUAAGUUUCUGAACAUUUCUUACGCCACUUUGGAGACGGCUUGGGACCUUUGUUAAAAUCGUUCUUAAAUUCAAAUCGGUUCAUUUAUUAAAUGGAAGUCGGUUAGAAAUAGAAAGUUAAUAAGAAAAAAGAAAAUUGACACAUAACAAAAAUAUUCAGUGAUACAAGGCAAAAGGAAAAUUGUAUUGUAUAACACACAAAAAUAUUAUAAUUAGUUGACCAAUUACUCUAAUCAUCACCGAUACGCAUUGUAUUUUAUAUAAUAUUGCUUUUAUACUCUUGUACGCAACUGGGACAACCUGCUGAGAAUAAAAAUUAAAAAUAGAUAAUAAAUCAUUUUAAAAGUAAAUUGUGGUCAAUUUUUAUUCAUUCAUUACUUUCGAUUUUUUUUUAAAUGGUUCAUUUCAGGGAAGGUAAAUUGAUUUUUUCUCAGAUCUACGCUACUCUCGUUGACACCGUCUGUGUGAUUAUGAUAAAGAAGAGGCAACGACGUUAACAGACACAACGACUCUUUCAUUUCUUUUUCUCUUCUUCUUAAAUCAUUGACUCUUGCAAUCAUGCAUCUGCUUUCAUACUCUGUUUUCGUUUUUGAAUCUUGUAAAUGAGAAUGGAACUAUCGCAUCAACAUUGGUCUGCGCUGUUAUACCAAUCCGAUGGUGAAGAAUAACAACGGUAUGCCGGUAGAUGUGUCGCCGUGUCGGCAAAAAGAGACGAGAUGAAGACGAUGGCUCGCCAUCUCUAUAUGGUGGGUGAAGAAUAAUGACAGUGGUUCAAGUGAAUGUGUAUCUGCAUGUCUGUAAAAGAGGAAUAAUUGAGAAAGAUGGACUCGUCGUCUAUACUAUACUCGGUGAAAAGAAAUUAUAAUAUAGUUUAUAUUCUUUAUGGUAGUAAAUAUAAGGAUGACAUACUAUUUCAGAUAUAAUCUUUUAUUCUCUUCAUAUUUCUAUAUUAUUUCUUAAAAUAAAAUAAUUUGACAUAAUUUCAAAUUUGAUAUUUUUUUUCUCUUUUUUACCAUUUUCUUCUUGUAGAAAACGUUUUUUAUGUGAAUUUGCUUAAUGUUCAUAAAAAGUAAAAAAAAAAAAAUGAAGAAUAUAACCUUGCUAUAGUUAAAAGAAACAGAUGGGACAAUUGCAACACAAUUUUGCCCGUUCUACGCGUGCGCAUGAGAAUGACGAGGGAAGCUAAAAUACAUGUACUUCCUUUCUGUCACAUCUCUAUCAUAACACGAACCUUUUUAUUUAAAAAGAUAAGUUCUCGCCCAUUAUUUUAUCUGGCUUAUAUUCAUUAUAUCCUCUAUUAAACUAAGUGUAUAUACACUUAAGUCAUUAUCUUACACAAAGUUCAUCUUUUUUUACCCAAAGUUCAUCACUAUACUAUACUACAUAUAAAAUAAUAUGGUCAUCGUAGAUACAGAUGAGCACACCUUAAAGGUGUAUAUGGUUCUAGUUGCUUAUGUGUUGUAGAAGAAGGUAUAACAUAUGGAGGCUAGGUGUUGGGCCCGAUGCAAGAAGCCACUAUGAUAUAACCGGUGAUAGGGGUAGCGAAACUUGUGGAGGCAACUAUAUAUGAAUGGCUAUUUAAUAAACUGUGUAUUAAAGUAACUGAGUAACUAAACAACAUGAUAAGUCGCAGUGUAUAAUAACCCAACAGAUUACCUCCCCUAUUGCAUAAGUUUGCACGACCAGUAAGCACAAAUAGGGUGGCUCUUGUUUGACGGACGUCAACUCCAAUUCAAUAAAAUACGCAGUAGAAAAUUUUUGAAUGUACAAGAUGCGAAAUUGAAGGAUGUGCUAUAUUAUAGGCAUAUUGACACAACGUGCAACGGAAAACUGCCAAAUACUACUAUACUAUAUAACAUAUAGUAUAAUCCCAUGCAGCAACAAACACCAUACAGUACUAUAAUAUACAAUCUAUUUAUAUAUAAUAGUGUUUUGCUCUCUCCUGGUUCUGCCACGUAGGCGUUCACGUCAAAAAGUCAGUUCCUGACGGCACGACACGUGUCUCUCUUACUUAACAAAACGUGAUUUUGUUUUAGGUUUCGGAUGGGCUUUCUAUUGUUAGUUUGGGCUCCCUUAAAACAAAUAGUUUUAUUCAGUAGUAAUGGUUUGGGCUUCUUUAGUUAAAACAACAAAGGUUUUAUUUUAAAAGUUGAGCCUGUAUUAAAAGCAUUGUUUGGCUAAGGUUAUGAUACGCUUCUUUUUCCUCUCCGUGAGAAGAAACUGCGGCGUUACGGUUGUCGAUCAGAUUCACUUAAUACAUUGAUGUUGUCAUUAACAUCACCGACCCACUCAUCACACGUCUUAUUCAAUACAUCUCUUCAUAUCUUAAUGGUUGCGGAUUUUCACCUAUAAAUAAGUAAGUUUAUUCCCGUGAAGUUGAUCACUUUUUUUUCUAAUUCAUUCUAGAGUUUCUACCUCUCUUUUCCCGAUUGUAGGCAACUGAAGAUUAUGGAAAGUUCUAGGCUUCAUAGACCUUACAAGAAAUGCGUUGAUAGCUGCUUGAUGAUGAAACGAAUGUUGCUGCUGAGCUGCUGGGAAAUCAGGUAGAGUCCAUUUUCAAGCGAUUGCAUUCCCACCUGAGAAUCUGUUUCCGAUCUGAUCGAAGAAUAUUUUGGGGAUCUGAUCGAAGAAUAUUUCGGGAAUCUGAUUCUUGUACGUCGGCUGAGGAUUAUUGAUAUCGGAGUUUAUGACAGUUUCGAGAUCACCAAUGAUAGAUUUACCAGAAACCUCGAGCCCACUACCGUAGCUGGUGAAUCAAGAAGCCAUUUUUAUCCACUCCCAAAAGCACCGAAGAAAAAGAGAGAUUAGCCAACCUCAAGACGAAGUUGAUUUCUCUUAUUUUCUUUGUUUUAAGAUGGCGACGAAAAUAUAAAAAGAAAAAAGUAAAUGACGUUACCACUGUUUGAUCAGAUAUUUUCGUUACUUUAUUUAGUUACGUUUAAAUCAAACCCCGAUUCAAAAAAAUACUCAAAAGUCGAAACCAACAUUAAUUGUUCUGUAUUACUUCGAGUAAUAAAUCUUACAGUUUUUUUAUAGAAAAAUACUUAUUUUUUGAUUAAACAAAUACUAAUUUUAAAAGUUAUGAUGACAAGUACUCUGCCCAAUUUUACUGUUACUACGUGGUUUCCAUUAAAUAUGAUUGUGGGAUUCAGUACACUAUUUACAAAGUAGCAAAUCUGAGUUUUAUAGCUUCAUUUUUUGAUUGAUAAUCAUUUAUUUCUUUUGCAAACAAUAAGCCUUAAUCCAAAUUUUAGCAAAAGAAAAAAAACAAUAAACCUUAAAGCCCUAAAAAUAAGAGAAAAUAACAUAACAAUGCCACUUGGGUUUCAAUUCCAACUAGCACCAGAUUUUCACAUGCAAGUGCGAUGUUUCUGUCUCUUACUCUUCUUUUAUAUCUUCCGAUAAAACACGAACACUAUCAAUCUAUCAUCAUAUAACUUGAGUAAGUAAACUAUUUUUUGUAUUUAAUUCCUUUCUGACUUUAAUUCUAUUAACGCCGAACUUAUGAGCUUAUAUGGUCCUAAACAAGUUGAACUUUAAGAACAAACGAUCGCGGGCAGUAUUUGUAUGCAUUAAACUAUUAAUGCAUACUCAUGCAAUACGAUUGUUUCUCUUUAAAUACAAUAAUCGGUUUUUUAAAAGCUCUCCCUCUCAUAAUUUUUCGAAUACACCCACUACAAAAGUAGGUGAAAAAACAAAAUAUUUUCAAUUUUUUAUUAAAAAUAAAAUAGUUUUCUAUUACUUAUCAUGCUUACCUGUCCGUAGGUCGGGUUUUACCCUAAAUAUUUAUGAUAAAUAAAUUUAAUAUUAUAAUUACAUAGCAGUGAAUUUUAUUUGUAAUUUUGUAAAAGUAAAUAUAACCAGUUAAAGUAUUUAAAAGAUAAAAUAAAUUAAAAAAAAAAAGUUAUCCCAUCGCUACAGUGCCACAUUAUAUUUAGUGUAACACUGUUACAAAAAACAUCAAAACACUAUAAUGUCGUUGAGUAUACUAUCCCAUUGGAGAAUAAAAGUUACAAAAACAUCAAAACACUAUAAUGUCGUUGAGUAUACUAUCCCAUUGGAGAAUAAAAGUUACAAAAACAUCAAAACACUAUAAUGUCGUUGAGUAUACUAUCCCAUUGGAGAAUAAAAGUUACAAAAACAUCAAAACACUAUAAUGUCGUUGAGUAUACUAUCCCAUUGGAGAAUAAAAGUCAAAUUUUUACACUACAGUAGUGUUUUCGGGUCUUCUUUGGAGAUGCCCUUAUCAAAAACAUAAAGUACAUAAUUAAUAAAAUGGUAUUAAGCGGUAAAUUGUGUCUUUACAAAGUACUUUAGUUCGAUUCUUUCUUUCUGAUCAAAAUAUGCUUCAUUUUGUUAUUCUUUUGUGAGUUUGUAUAAUCUAUAACGAGAGAACAAAUAAUAAUUUUUUUUUAAAGACAAAUCAUCUAUUAUGCAAUUUACUUAAUUGCAACGAUUUUAAAGUACAAACUUCUAAAAUUCUAUAUAAAGUGAUUUAAAAUAGUGUUCUAUACCAAAUAUAUUAUUCAUGUUUUGAAAAUUAAAAAAAUAUAUUAAUUCAAAUAUAUAAUGAAUCUACUCGCCGUAUAGUAUAGUAUAGUCGAAUGGAAACAAAGGACCUAUUUAUUUGUCUAUGUGAUGUUCAAGAAUUAACUAUAAUGUGGCUCAGUUGCGACAAUGUGUUAGCUGCCGCUAAAAGAAACAAAGGCUACAACUAGUGAAUUUACGGGGGUUCCAAGUGGCAAAAUCUAAUAUAUAAGAACCGUAUACACUAACUGUUGGGUAUGCCAGUUGACAUUUAUACUAUAUUAAAAAUGUUAGAGUUAUGGAAGUUCUUUACUAUUAUGUCACAAUACAAGCAUACUUUUUUUGUUGCAUAAAAUACAUAGAAAACUUGAACAUUUGUUACAUUGUGCGACUAGACAAAGGAAAAGGUGGACAAACAUGACUGAAAAUAUAUGCAUUCCCAUUAGCUUUUCUGAACUCCGAUUCCGCCAACUACUACAUCUGAGCAUCGGAAAUGGGCUGCUUUUAUCACCUUUUCUGACUAGUAGGUUCAAACCCUAUCUGCUACAAAUGCUUGGGAAAGUUUAACUCCUCCAUGCUAUAAUUGGAAAGGAAAAACGUGAGGGCAUAACAAAUCUAUUUCUAAAAAAUACUAUACUGUUUACGCCAAUCCUUGGAACAUAAAACACAUAUAUAUACAUUUGUAAAUACUAUACUAUACAAUAACUAACGGCAAGACAUGGUAAAAAAUAACAUUUAUUUUAGAAGGAAUACUGUACAAUGACAUUACUACUCACCAGUAUAGUACAUCCAAUAAUUCUUAAAAAUAUGCAAAGUAAACUAUGUUAAACUAAAAGUGUGCAUAUCAAAUGAGGUUAACUAAACUAUUUCUUAACAUUGUCUAGUAUAUAUCAUCAAGUCUCAGAAAGCCACAAGCAUAAGUUACAAACUAUACUAAUAACAGUUUCAACAUAGUAUAGACAAAACAUGUACAUCAACCUUCACAAUCACACACCGAAACGGCAAAUAUAGUGUAUGUGAAAAUACAUAUAAUACAGUCCUUUUAGUUACAGUAUACAUAUGUUCCCCCCCUCACACGAACCCAAAAACUAAGAUGGGAACAAACUCAUAAAUGACUAUACUAUCAUGUUGUUGCAAUAUGGUGUGAUAUAGAUACAUGGUACCAAACUAUUCAGCACUCACAUAUAGUAUUGGUCUAUCACUAAAUUAAUUCAUCUGUUUCACCCCUCCCACGAAUCCAGAAAAUCAGUUUGGGAAAAAGCUGAAAACACAGAUACAACUUUGAACAUAUCUCGUAUUCAGUAUAUACAUAGAACACGCCUAAGUGAAUUUUAAGCACAACCAAUCGUGUGAGAUUACCUUUUUGCGAGCCGAAAAGAAGUGCUCCAUCUUGAUAUGCAAAAGAAACUGCGUUUCUGAGUUAAUGGCCGGAAAUACAUGCCGUGUUGGUGUCGACACAGACGCUAUUGGCCCAUAUGCCAUGCAAUCAAACCAGAAUUACCUUAAAUCUUUGUCGUUUGCUCUUCAAUCGCCUCCCCCGAGAAAUUUUGAAGGAAAACUGGAACCCUAACGCUGCUACUGAAACUUGUUAGAACAUGACAAGAAACUGCAAACCAGGCAACACUCUCAACCAGAAAGGAAACGUGUCAUUGAACAUGUUGUCUUCAACGUUUAGAAACUGGAGGUAAGUGAAAUUAAUCAGAGACUUGGGAAGUUCUCCUGAUAACUGGUUGUGACUAACAUCGAGUGAAACCAAGCCAACACUGACAGAUUCGUCUGGAAAAUUACCAGAGAGGCUGUUAUUCUGAAGAUGCAAGACUGUAAGCUUAGUAUUGAAAUUCUCAAAACACCGAGGUAUAUAUAGAACCGCUGAAGUUGUUGUUGGAUAAAAUAAGUUUACCAAGAGAAUCCAGUUCGCAUAUUAUCUUCGGAAUCUCUCCUGAAAACUGAUUAUCAGAAGCUGAAAAAUAUAUAAUAGAUUUUGGUAACAAAGGAAAUGGAUUCUUGAAAGUGUUUGAACUUAUAUCAAGCAUAUAUAUUUCCUUUCUUUGAAUAAAGUCCGCUGGUCCAUCAAAACCACUGAAUGAAUUUCGAGAAAAGUCUACAUACCCCAGCCUUGAGAGACUCCAUAACCACUCUGGUACUUGCCCUUUAAUUUGAUUGGUAGAAAUAUCUAAAUAAAACAAACUGGUUUGCCUUUGUAGAAACUUUGGAAAUUCAGAAAUAUUGCAGGACGCUAGAGCCAAGGAUCCAAUUGGUGAGGGAAGGUUGAGAGUUGAACUGAUAUUCAAAUUAUUACCUGAAAGGUGAACUAGGCUAAGUGACAUGAGAUGUGACAAAAGACUCAUGUCAACCAUACUUCUUGUAUUCAGAUGGGACAGGUCAGGGAACGUAAGUGACUUGAGAUGCAAGAAGAUCCUGAAAUCGACCAUCCCGCUAAUUGUGUUCCAAAAAGAGAGGUCGAGACACGAGAGCCCGGCUAGUUUUGAUAUAAAUCUCGGGAUUGGGCCCUUGAGAUUGUUUCCUCCAAGGCUUAAUGUUUGAAGUUCUGAUGGUGAAGAGAUAUUCCCAAUCUCAAGAGGACCGUUGAAGCCGUUCCUUUCCAGGCUAAGAUGGAUCAGCGAAGGGAUCAUGAAAAGAGACGAAGAAACAAAUCCAGAAAAUGAAUUUGAUCCAAUAUUAAAGUACUCCAGUUUGGAGAGGCUACUCAUGUUAGCUGGGAGAGUUCCUUCAAGCUGGUUAAAAUGAAGGUUGGUCGUAGUGAGAUCACUCAAAUUUAGUAGCACAUGAGGAAAGUUCCCACUGAGCUUGCUCGAUGCAAGUAUCAACUUUGUGAGUUGGUUUAGGUUGCCCAUCGAAUCUGGUAGUUCACCGGUGAAAUCAUUACCAUCAAGAUCAAGAUGAGUGAGGUAAGAAAGAUUCCCAAGGGAUGAAGGAAGCUUUCCAAAUAAAUUGCAUUCAAGAAGUUUCAAACAUUCAGAAAGUUUUAAAAGCCGAAAAAAACUAAGAAGAACUCGAAGACAUCAAACGAUCAAUGCCGGAUACGAAGAAGCACGGCGAGCCAACCCAACUAAACGGCCUCUUUUCCUUUUAGGAACCGCCUACAAAAAUAUUUAAAGUUAGUAAAUAGGGACAAGUUAGUAAUCGACAUUAUAAAAAGUCUAAACAGAAUACUAUUUAAUCUCAAAGAGCCAUUGAGAGAACUGCCCAAGAGAUUUAACUCAGCAACAUUGCCCGUCUUAGGAUCACAAGUGAUACAAUCCCAAGAACAAUAAUCAGUGUUGUUCCUCCACCUCAUUGCACUACAAGAACAGGGGGAUUUUGAUGGCCGAAAUCGUCAGAAAUUCGUCGGAAUAGACCGAUUCCGACGAAUUUCUGACGAACCUAUCCGUCGGUAUCGUUUUGUCGGAAAAAAAAAUUCGUCGGAAUUUCGUCAGAACUUCCGACGACUUUCUGACGAAUACCGAGAAACGUCAUUCUGACGAACUUCCGACGAUAUUACGAUGCGGACACACGAGACCAGAGUUCAUCGGAAAAACUAUGUACCGACGGAGAACAUUCCUCGGACAAUUCGGAUAGUGGCAUUCUCCGAACGGAUAGUGGCAUUCUCAGAAAGGAUAGUGGUGUUCUGCUCCUCCAAUGCCCCAAUCCGUUCAUCUUUGUCAUGUAGCUCCUCGAGAAUCAUGGGAUUGGCAUACGGAGCUUGCGAAGAAAAUGCCGGAUACGAAGAAGCACGGCGAGCCAACCCAACUAAACGGCCUCUUUUCCUUUUAGGAACCGCCUACAAAAAUAUUUAAAGUUAGUAAAUAGGGACAAGUUAGUAAUCGACAUUAUAAAAAAAAUAUUUAAUAAAAAAAAUUACCUUUUCAACCAUCUCAUUUAUUUGCAAUAGAGACAAGUUGGCUGAAGCUCCCGUAGAAGACACGUGUCUUCUCACUAGCAGUAAUCCCAUUGAGAUGGAACUCGCUCUUGAACUCCCAGAGAGCAUCACUUUGGUCUGCAUGACACAUGUGCUUAGCAGGAGAAGAUGCGAUAAGUAUUGGAUAAGAAAGAAAAAAUAUUAAACACAUGAGCCAUAGUAUCAUCUUCCUCUCACUACAAGAAUGCAUCGUUUUGUUCUUUUCUUUUUUUUGCUGUGAAACUAGAGAAAAUAAAAGCUCGACUUAAGAAGUCUCUUGUAAAGACUUGGAACACGUCUUCUGUGGAGAAUUAAUUGAUGAAUGGUCCAAAAAGUUUAAAGAUGAAAAUUCAACAGUGAUUUAAAAAGUACCCCAAGCGACAAACACAGUUUUGUCCAAGCCGUGUGGUGUGGGUAUAAACCGCUAAAACGCUUUGCAGCCACAAACGUAUUUUUCUGCCGUGUGUUGUGGGUCAACCAAUUGCCCAAAGGCCCCAAACGUUCUGUAGCCUGUGAUUCUGUGAAGAGUUCUUUGUUCUCUGUAUAUUUAUCUAUUCCCGCUCUUAACGACGCUGACCUCUACAAGGAAAUAACCUCUAAUUUUUAACUUCCCUCCCUUUUACAUUUUCUGUUUUAAUCAAUACUAGAUCUCGACCAGUGCAACCGCGUAGGUUUUUGUUUUCAUUUAGUUUUAUAUAAAUAUUUUGUUUUCAAUUCUAAAUUGGUAUAUAUUAUAAUAUAUAUGUGUCUAUUAAUUUUUAAAACAUAAUAAGUUUACUGUAUAUUUUUUCAUUGAAUAAAUUGUUUCAAACUUUCACAUGUAUUUGUAUCUUCUUCUAUAUAUAUAUUUUCGAAUUAUUAUUUCAUUAUUAAAAUCGUAACUAUAUAUAUAAAGAUUAGUAAAAUAUUGUUUUAUUGUCAUAUUCAAAGAUAUUGUAAUAUUUCACAAAUUUAGAAAGUUCUUAAAAAAUUAAACUUUUCGCUUAAUAGAUUUAUAUUAUCGAGUAAAUAAUUAAACAUUUAGUUUUUGUUUAAUUUUUAAAAUAAACUAUAUAGUUUAAAAUUUGUUUUCAUUGGUUUAGUAAAGAUUAAUCAUUGUUAGAUAAUAUGUUUUUUGUUAUUUAAAAAACUAUCUUUAUAAUUUUUAAAGUUAACAUAGACAAAUAUUUAGCAUAUAGAGGUAUAGUAUUACAACAUUAAAUUAUAUCUAUUUAAUUUAUACUAUCUAUAAAUCCAAUGGAUCAUCUAUUGUUUAAAUCUAAUUAUUGAUAGCCUAAUAAAAAUUUCUACUAGGCCCAAAAUUUAAAUGACAAGAUUAGAUAUUAAAUGUAACAUGACUCUCUAAAAAUAAGUCUAUUUUUUAAAAAAAUCACACAUGAAUAAAUGUUGUGACUUCUGUUUUAAUAUAUAAGAUUUUAUUAGGUUUUAGUUUCCUUCCUUCCCUAAACAUGUCUUUUACAUGUAGUGUUGAGUAGGAAAACUGUUUUUUUUCUUCUUAAAGCUAAUUUGCAUGUUGAUUAUUGAGUUAUUCUUGGGUUCACCCCUAGAGUGAACCUCUAGGUUAACUAACCAAUAAGAUUUCAUUAUUUCAAAUUCAGUAUCUUUUAGAGAAGGAAACAAAGUAUUGUCAAGUUAUAUUAUGUUUUUUUAAAAAAUAAUAUAAAAAAAAUAGUAGUUACAGAAAAAAAAUUUAAUCUUUUUUAGAGUCGUCAGCAAAACACUAAACCCUAAAUCCUAAUCCCUAAACCCUAAACCCUUGGGUAAACCCUAAACCCUUGGAUAAAUCAUAAACUCUAAAUCAGAAACAUUAAACACUAAAACCCUAAAUCCUAAAUCCUAAACCCUAAACCCUUGAGUGUUUUAGUGUUUAGUGUUUUUGAUUUAGAGUUUAGGAUUUACCCAGGGGUUUAGGUUUAUCCAAGGGUUUAGGGUUUACUCAAGGGUUUAGGUUUUAAAAUUUAGGGUUUAGGUAUUAGGAUUUAGGUUUAGUUUUUUCUUGACGACGUUAAAAAUAUUUUUUUUGUAAUUACUACUAUUUUUUUAUUUGUUUUUUUUAUCUUUUUAUUUUAAAAACAUAAUAUAACUUGACAAUAUUUUGUUUCUUUUUAUUAAAGGUAUCAAAUAUAAAAUAACACAAUCUUAUUCUAGGGGGUGAACCCAAGAAGAAGUUUUGAUUAUAUAUUAGACAAUUCUUUCAAAUAGUUCAUUUUAUAUUUUUAUCUCAAAAAGAGUUCUUAACGAAGAAGAUGACCAAAAGAAGUUUUUUUAAAGAGGCAAAAGACAUUUCUAUCUCUCAUUUAUAGAUAUAUAAAUAAUAAUAAUAAUAAUUGUUUAUAAUUUCAAACUAUUUGUUUUCAAAUUCAAACUUUUAAUAAUAAGUUGUUAGAUUUUUUUUAAAUUUGAAAAUGCUUUUUAAAACUAUUUUUAUAAUUUUACUUUUAAGAUUUUAAUAUUUAUUAUCUAUUUUAAAUUUGUUUUAAACUCUACCUCCAAAACUCCAGCCCUUUAAUUUUAAACCCAAAGUUUAGGAUUAGUUAACCUAGGAAUGCAAAGUUAUAUUUACUUUUCAAUAAAACAUUUUUGAUCAUUUUUUUAAUGGCUUUUUUGUGAAAAUAAACUAAAAAGUAUCCUAAAAAAUUCCUCUUAUAUAUUUACACCAUCAAAAUGCUUUUCAGCUAAUAAUGCUUGUAGUUGAAGUCGCACCUACAGAUGAGUUGAAACACACACCCAAUUUAAUAUCAGAGAUGUACAUAAAGUUUGUUAACGACUUUGAUGAUGUUCCUUUAAGCGCUAGAAGAGUGGACACGAAUAAAUGUCAACAGAAUCAGAGAUAUUGCAAGACAACAAAAGCUCGGUUUUAUUCAAACGAUAUAGUUAACUACUUUUUGAAAGUUCACAGAAAAUCAAAACUCUGUGAAUAUUUGUAACAUCAAGAAUAUUUUUAACUAAUUUUAAAAAGAUAAAAAUAAACAGAGAAAAUUGUGGCUGAUGAUAUUCGAACCCUGCACCAAAAUGAAUGCUUUUUCACCACUGGGGUUUAGGUUUAUCCAAGGGUUUAGGGUUUACUCAAGGGUUUAGGUUUUAAAAUUUAGGGUUUAGGUAUUAGGAUUUAGGUUUAGUUUUUUCUUGACGACGUUAAAAAUAUUUUUUUUGUAAUUACUACUAUUUUUUUAUUUGUUUUUUUUAUCUUUUUAUUUUAAAAACAUAAUAUAACUUGACAAUAUUUUGUUUCUUUUUAUUAAAGGUAUCAAAUAUAAAAUAACACAAUCUUAUUCUAGGGGGUGAACCCAAGAAGAAGUUUUGAUUAUAUAUUAGACAAUUCUUUCAAAUAGUUCAUUUUAUAUUUUUAUCUCAAAAAGAGUUCUUAACGAAGAAGAUGACCAAAAGAAGUUUUUUUAAAGAGGCAAAAGACAUUUCUAUCUCUCAUUUAUAGAUAUAUAAAUAAUAAUAAUAAUAAUUGUUUAUAAUUUCAAACUAUUUGUUUUCAAAUUCAAACUUUUAAUAAUAAGUUGUUAGAUUUUUUUUAAAUUUGAAAAUGCUUUUUAAAACUAUUUUUAUAAUUUUACUUUUAAGAUUUUAAUAUUUAUUAUCUAUUUUAAAUUUGUUUUAAACUCUACCUCCAAAACUCCAGCCCUUUAAUUUUAAACCCAAAGUUUAGGAUUAGUUAACCUAGGAAUGCAAAGUUAUAUUUACUUUUCAAUAAAACAUUUUUGAUCAUUUUUUUAAUGGCUUUUUUGUGAAAAUAAACUAAAAAGUAUCCUAAAAAAUUCCUCUUAUAUAUUUACACCAUCAAAAUGCUUUUCAGCUAAUAAUGCUUGUAGUUGAAGUCGCACCUACAGAUGAGUUGAAACACACACCCAAUUUAAUAUCAGAGAUGUACAUAAAGUUUGUUAACGACUUUGAUGAUGUUCCUUUAAGCGCUAGAAGAGUGGACACGAAUAAAUGUCAACAGAAUCAGAGAUAUUGCAAGACAACAAAAGCUCGGUUUUAUUCAAACGAUAUAGUUAACUACUUUUUGAAAGUUCACAGAAAAUCAAAACUCUGUGAAUAUUUGUAACAUCAAGAAUAUUUUUAACUAAUUUUAAAAAGAUAAAAAUAAACAGAGAAAAUUGUGGCUGAUGAUAUUCGAACCCUGCACCAAAAUGAAUGCUUUUUCACCACUAUACCAACUACACUGCAGAAGAACUUGACAGAAAAAGGCUGAAAUAAUUUAACUUAUUCAAAGAGCCGGAAGCAUAUGCUUCCUUCGCUUGUACCCAGGGCCACUACUGGGUCACACACAACUUGAGAUAGACUAAUUCUUAAUCUAUCCAAAAUACAAGAGCUGGGCUGAACUCUCAAGUCACUCACCAAUCUUUCAAGCAAAUGCAGUGAAGACACAGCUUUGCACUCGUUUCUUUUUCACUAAAAGCAUACCUUAAACCUAACCCAAGGCUCAACAUAUAUAUAUGUCUAACAAAAUCAUGAUGUCUAACCCAAACCUAAUAUUAUGUUUUUUAAUAUUGUGAUAAUACCUAAUCUUCUUGUUUGCCAGCCAAGCAAACUUCUACAGCUAAUGACAAGACGACACCUCAUUCUUUAAUAAUGAUCAUUCCUCAUAUGUAACACGAACAUGAAGCUCCAUGAUAUGUCAUGCACAAAAAGCUCUUUUUCCUAAGCUUAUAUUCUCCUCCUUUUUAUCUGAAUAUGAUAUAAUCUAAGAAACCUACAAAGAAACGCAAGAAGCCAAGCAGACACCACAUACCAAGUCGUCCAGAGCUAAUAUAUGCAAAAAUUUAAAACAAGUCUGGUUUCAAAUAACCAUCUGAAACAAAGCAUUGUUCCUGGGCAAUAGGAUACAUACGUACGUUAAGAAUAAGCUGAGAUAGAGAUAUUGUACUCCUCGUACACAGACUGAUUAUUUUGAGAUUAGAGAUGACCCGAGCAAUGUCAUCUGCAAGGCACACUGAAUGAUUUAGAUAAAUAUUUAGGAUAUUUCCAAAUAUUUAUUAUUUAGUUUAUUAAUUAUUUAGAUAAUUAUCUUUAUUAUUUUAGGGUUUUAUGGUGUUUUUAUAUAUAGCUGUCUAGGUUUAAGUUUGUAUUUAGUUUAUGAUUUGAUUAAUAAAAGUUAAGAAUUUUCUCUUUAUUCUUUGUUUUCGGUAGAUCAUUGGUGAUCUCAACGAAUUUAAUAAGACAUUUCUUAGGUAUUCUUAGACUAAAUAAGAUCUUUGUAUUAUUUUAGUUUUCCCGGUAUUCUCAGAAUCAACGGAUCUCUAUUACUAUCAUAUUGUAGCUUUUGCUACAUCAGGUGGUAUCAGAACUAACACUUUGGUUUCUUAAUCAAAGUUCGAUUCUGUUUCCAGACGUGUUCAUUGAAGGUACGUGUUAUUUCAUGGAUUCAUAUCCAUUUAAUUUAUUUGAAGAUCUUUGCGAGGAGUUCAGAAAAAUUUAUGGUGAUCCAAUUUAUGACACGUAUGAUGAUGAGGAUUUUUGUAAGAUGAUUUAUGGUCCUCCAAUCUAUGACGAUUAUGUUGCUAUCGUCGCGGAGGAAGCCGUAGAAAUUGUCAACGUAAAAGAUGGUAUUGUUCUCCCAAAAUUUGAGUUAGGCGCAGGAUGCAACAAUUGGGAAACUCAGACGUUGACUUGGACUUUUACAAAACAAAGUCCAAUUGAAGGGUUGCUUAGAGAUCAAGCUUUUAGAUACAAGGGUGAGUAUGCGGAAUUGAUUUGUACUCUGUCGGUGGCUUUUCCAUAUACGGCGCAGGGACAUGUUCAUACGUCUUUCUAUAUUAUUAUGGAGAGUGCCUGUAUUCCACAAUUCUUCAUGGCACGUCUGAUACAUCGUUAUGCAAAAGUCAACAUUGAUGAAGUAUGUCAAAAAUGCUUACUUGCGAGUCAAGAAUUUUGUUAUUGGAUGGCUGGAAAAGACAUAUUAUUUGAAGAACACGGUUAAGAUUCGAGGACGAAUCUUUCUAACCCAUAGAGAAUGACGUUUUAUAACCCAUAGAGAAUGACGUAGAUAAAUAUUUGGGAUAUUUCCAAAUAUUUAUUAUUUAGUUUAGUCCUCUAGACUAUAUUUGUGAAGUGAUUUUGCCACAUGUCAUUUUUACAAUCAAUUUCACAAAACAAAUAUGACAUGGCUACUGAAAUUGAUGACAUGUCUUAUAGCUUAAUAUGACAUGGACAAUUGCAUUUAAUGUUAAUUUAUAUUUUUGGUAAACUUUUUAAAAUAUGGUAAUAACUCAUAUAUUACAUUUAAUGUCAAUUUAUAUUUUUGAUUUUUUUAUUUUUUUUUUAAAUAUGGUAACAACCCAUACAUCAUCUAUAAAUAAACAUAUUCAUAUAUAACAUUUCAAAUUUUGAAAUAUUAUUAUUUUUGGAUAUAUUACAUUUAAUAUUGAUAUUUUUUUUUUGGUCAUUUUUUUUUAAAUAUGGUAAUAGCCCAUACAUCAUCUAUAAAUAAAAAUAUUCAUAUAUAACAUUUCAAACUUGGAAAUAUUAUUAUUUUUGUAUAAUUAUACAAUUUGUAUUACUAAAGCUUUCAAAAAUUUCUACAAUUUGUUAAAAAUUUAAAUAUCUAAUCGUAAUAUCCUUAGUUUCUUAUAUAUCUACAAAUUUUAUAAAUAUUGUUUAGGCUAAUUUUCUGAUAAUUAUACAAUUUUAUAACAUUUUUAUUAGUUUUAUACAAAUUGAUUUAAUAUAUAUCAAAUCUAUAUUAAAUAUUAGUAAAAAAAUAGUGAAAUCUAUAAUAUUUAAUAAAAUUUAUUUUUAAAUAUAAGUUAGAUUUAAAAAAUUUCUUACUGCAUAUGGUGCAGGAAAACACAUAGAUUUCUUACUGCACAUGGUGCAGUAAAACACCUAGUUAUCUUUAUUAUUUUAGGGUUUUAUGGUGUUUUUAUAUAUAGCCGUCUAGGCUUAAGUUUGUAUUCAGUUUAUGAUUUGAUUAAUAAAAGUUAAGAGUUUUCUCUUUAUUCCUUGUUUUUGAUAGAUCAUUGAUCUCAACGAAUUUAAGAAUUGAUCUUAGGUAUUCUUAGACUAAAUAAGAUCCUUGUAAUAUUCUAGUUUUCCGAGUAUUCUCAGAAUCAACGGAUCUCUAGUCCUAUCAUAUUGUAGCUUCCGCUACAUCAGUGAGCUAGGGUCAGCCCAUGAUCUUCGACCAGCCUUGGUAUCUCUUACCACUGGAUUUGGAAGUCCAGUCGUAUCGCUUGAGUUUGGUGGAACAAUUCACUAGAUCAUAAGGACUUGCUAAAUCAUAAUCGAAAAGAUGAUUUGCCUCUUCUUAUCGUCAGUCUUAUGAGCCAUUUUCAUGAUUUAGUCAUACACCAACUUCCCAAAGUUGAACCUUUUUUGCUGAUGAAGCAUGUAAAGGAAUUUGAGAUGCUCUUGAUUCAUUGCAGUGUAGCUUGUCGUAGGGAUCUACUUUGAGCAGACGAGCUUGUAGAGCACUUGAUUCGUCAAGGUUAAGAACUUGGAUCUCAUGUUUUCCAACGUUUUGACACGAUUAUCAGUGAGAUAUCCACACACUCGAUCAAUAUUCUCGAGGCUCCAUUCAAUCGUCGUCCAAGUCAGAGAUGCAAUACAUGGAGUUGAUCAAACUCGGAGAGAACUAUACUAAGGAGCCUCUGACAUACACAUCGACCCCAUCAGCUCUUUCCUCAGCAUCCAUAAUAUUUGAAAUGAACUUUCUUAUCACGGUUGGGUAGAAAGGAUCAGCAUCGAUCACAGUAUAGUUCAAUCCAGCCGUAACAAUUACAUCCUUAACAUCUACAAGCUUCUCAUCGAUAAGAGGGAGACUGGGCUGAAUGCGGUACUUACGGGUGACCUGUACCUUUCAACAGAAGUUUUGGUAGAGAACCGAGAGCGCUGAGAGGUUUGACUCUUGGUCGCAACAGAUCCGAAUUCUCGCGAGGAGAGACUGGAAGGUUUGUCAAAUUUUCUCGUGCCUAGGGCCUUGCUGAGGAAUGGAUUGGAAUCCUUAGCUGAGUCGUCUUCAGAAGAAGCAAGAGACUCGACUUUUGGUUCUGGAGAUUUUGUUAGGAGAAGCCUUUUCCUUGCGGUGUCGUUUGAGAGAGCCUGAGGUGGCAGACUUACGGCUUGGGCUGAUUCUCCGUCGUUCAUGGUGCCACUCGAGCAAGUGAUUCGGCGGACAGGUUGCAUGUUGCAAUCGGAGACCCGAAAGGCUAUUGAAAUCCAAUGGUUUGGUGAAGAUAUCAGCUAGUUGUUAGUCUGAAGAAAUCUGUUAAAUGACAACAAGUUUUUCCUCUACUGUCUGAUACAAAAAUACCUAGGAGAUCGUUGUUAUCUUUAAGUAACUUAGAACUUAGGUGGUUAGUCUUGCCAACUAAGACUAGAUGAUUUUCCACUUUGUUCUAUUGUUCCUUACUGUUUUGAAAGAUUUGAACUGAUCUCUUGUACAACUCUUCAUAGCUUAAUCAAUAAAACGCUUUGUGCAACCCUACUCAUUUUUGUCAUUUUCUUGUUCAUGUGAUAAUCGAGAAACUUCAGUUUUCAGGAAUAAACUGUGUAAUUAAAAUUUUGAUUGUGCGAGUUUUGACAUCAACAAAUAGAUAAACUGAGAGAGAGGUAUAUAAUGGAUGGAAAAUGAAACCAUAAUAUGAGGUUUAUAUGGAUAUUUUGAUAGAUUGAUUUGCGAUGACUCAGUUUGUAAGAUGGAUCAUCAGCUACAUAUGUAGGUGUGGAAAGUGAGGGUAGCUCAGUGAUUGACGUUCUUGAACCCAGAGUUGGGUCGCAACAAGAAUGGAGAUGCAUAGCAUUACAAUAGGAGUGUGUUUUCUCCCUACUUCAAGAUUUCAAACACAAAAAAGAAAUAUAAAGUGAAAGAGGAAAUUAACUGCGCCAAAACACACAGAUCAUCACAACAAGAGUGGCAAAACAAUACAACAAAAGAGAAUUUUUCACGCCAUUACAAUGGUAAUUAAUUUAAAACGACAUAGAGAUGAUUAUUAAUAUAGUAGAUAUCAUUAGGAAAGGGAUGCUUAUGUUAAGAAAAAUAGUGAAAGAUCCUUUUGAACCAGUCAUGUCUGUAUGAAGUCAGAAUAUGCCCGAUAGUGAAUCCACAGAAUACACCAGGUACAUAGGCUAUUCCAGCUGCAAUCCAGCUCAAUACUUGAUCUUCUUCUUUAUCUUUGUUUAUUGUAGCUUCUUCUCCUCCACUGCAGGUUUUCAGAAGAGGAGCACCGCAUAGCCCAGGGUUCUGUAGGAAUGAAGAACUAUCCUGGCUUUGAAUUUGAGUGCCUUGUGGUAUUGGACCUUCGAGGUUGUUGUAAGAGAAGUUCAUCCAAGCUAGAAACGUAAGUUUACCGAGCUCCGGUGGGAUUUUUCCGGAUAAUCUAUUUCUGGAUAGAUCCAGUGAUUGGAGAUUGGUCAAGUUCGACAGAGAUGGUGGAAUAUGGCCUAUGAAAGCGUUGUUUGACAUGUUGAGCACAAUCAUCUCCUUGAGUAAACCGAUGGAUUUGGGGAUUUCUCCUUUGAAUCUGUUUCCUGAAACAUCGAUGCUUUUGUAGAUAUUGAAACUAGUACCAAGCAACUUCAUCUCCAAACCUUUGUUAGCCAGGACCACCGACUUAACAUAGUUUGAGAAGCCAAUUCCUAUAAACCUUUUCUGCUUGUUAUCUGGAGUGUAUACACCAGAUGACAUUUCACUCCAACCAGAGAAGUAAUCUGAUGGCAAGGCUCCAGAGAAGAGAUUUUUAGAAAUGUCAAAGAUUCUCAGCUUGGGGAAAUUAAUAGAACCUUCUGGAGAAUAUAUUGGCCCAUGGAACUCGUUUGAACGAAGGACAAGAAACUGCAAACCAGGCAACACUCUCAACCAGAAAGGAAACGUGUCAUUGAACUUGUUUUCUUCAACAUUCAGAAACUCGAGGCCAGUGCAGUUCAUCAGAGACUUAGGAAAUUCUCCUGAUAACUGAUUGUGACCAACGUCUAGUGAAAUCAAGCCGAUGCUAACAGAUUCCUCUGGAAAUUCACCAGAGAGUCUGUUAUUCUGAAGAUGCAAGACGGUAAGCUUUGUAUUGAACUUCUCAAAACACCGAGGUAUAGAACCGCUGAAGUUGUUGUUGGAUAAAACAAGUGUUUCAAGAGAAUCCAGUUCGCAAAUUGUCUUCAGAAUCUCACCCGAAAACUGAUUAUCGGAGGCUGAAAGAAACGUUAUUGAUUUUGGCAACAAAGGAAAUGGAUCCUGAAAAGCGUUCGAACUUAUAUCAAGCAAAUAUAUUUCAUUUCUUUGAAAAACAUCCGCUGGUCCAUCAAAACCAGUAAAUGAAUUCAGAGAAAAGUCUACAUACGCUAAUCCUGGGAGACUCCAUAACCACGCUGGUACUUGCCCUUUUAUUUGAUUCUGAGAAAUAUCUAAGUAGAACAAACUGGUUUGCGUUCGUAGAAACUUGGGGAACUCAGAAAUAUUGCAGGAUGCUACAGCCAAUGAUCCAAUGGGUGAGACCAGAUGGAGAGUUGAACUGAACUUCACAGUAUUUCGUGAAAGACUUAGUAUGCUUAGUGACUCGAAAUGCGAGAAGAGACUCAUGUCGACAAUACUUCUUGUAUUAAGAGUGGAGAUGUCAAGGGACGUAAGUGACUUGAGAUGCAAGAAGAUGCUGAGAUCGACAUCGCCCCUGAGUGUGUCCCAAAAAGAGAGGUCGAGAGAAGAGAGCUCGACUAGUUUUGAUAUAAAUCCCGGGAUUGGCCCACUGAGCUUGUUUCCUCCAAGGCUUAAAGUUUGAAGUUUUGAUGGUGAAGAGAUAUUCCCAAUCUCAAGGAGACUGUUGAAGUGAUUCCUUUCCAGUUUAAGAUGGAUCAACGAAGGGAUCAUGAAAAGAGACGACGGAACAAAUCCAGAAAAUAAAUUCGAACCAAUAUCAAAGUACUCCAGUUUGGAGAGGCUACUCAUGUUAGAUGGGAGCGUACCUUCAAGCUGGUUGGAAACAAGGUUGAUCGCAGUGAGCUCGGUCAAAUUGAGUAACGCAUGAUGAAAGUUCCCGCUGAGCUUGCUCGAUGCAACUAGCAACUUUGUUAGUUGUUUUAAGUUGCCGAGUGAAACUGGUAGUUCACCGGUGAAACCAUUACCAUCAAGUUCAAGAACAGUGAGAUCAGAAAGAUUUCCAAGCGAUGAAGGAAGCUUUCCAAAUAAAUUGCAUCCAGAAAGUCCCAAAACCCUCAGAUAUUUGAGGUCGCCGAUGGAAUCUGGUAGAAUGCCGGCAAGAUUAUUGGAGCUAAGAUCGAGGAUCUGAAGAUGCUGUAGUUUAAACAGACCACUACUAGAUCUUAAAGGGCCAUUGAGAGAACUGCCCCAGAGAUUUAACUCAGCAACAUUGCCCGUCUUAGGAUCACAAGUGAUACCAUCCCAAGAACAGCAAUCACUGUUGUUUCUCCAGGUCUGUGUCUUCUCGUCGGCAGCCAUCCCACUGAGAGGGAACUCACUCUUGAACUCCCAAAGCGCAUUCCUCUGGUCUUGACGGCACAAGUGCUUAGGAGGUGAAGAACCGCAAACAAGUAUUGAGUGAGAAAGAGAAAAUAUUAAACACAAGCUCCAUACUAUUAUCUUCCUCGCACAACAAGAAUGCAUCGUGUUUUUUUUUGUUCUUUGUUCUUUGGUUUUUUCUUUUUGUUUUUUGUUUUUUG